AGCAAACUGAGAUUCCUUUCAUGCCGGCUCGUGUUCUAUGUCAGGUUUGUUCCAUUUCCAUGAAUCAAGGACUAGUUUGAAUGAUUGAACUUUUUGUUUCCUUAGCCUUUUGAUUUUGUUACAAGGAUGGUAACUGCAUUCUGGCUUUGGUUGAUCUUACUUCUUUGAGGGAUGCCAUGAAGAAUCUUGGCCGUGAUCCUAAUAAGAUUUGUCCUCUGUUAUGAAUCCAAAUAGGUUGAUGUAGCAAGAUCAGAUGAUGCAUUACAAGCAAAUAUGGAAUGUGAGUUCCAUAGGAAUAGAGAGAGAUUUGGUUUCCUUAAAUGGGGUUCGUCAGCUCUCGAUAACAUGAUUGUUGUUCCUCCAGGUUCUGGAAUAGUCCAUCAGGUGAAUCUUGAAUACCUUCUACUGGUGGUUUUCGAAGCUGAUGGGAGUAGGCAGCAAUGCUUGGCCAGGUUAAGUAUAUAUAAUAAAGGUGGUUUGUUUUUAGAUAUAAAUCAAGAUAAAAGUUCCAUGUUAUGAACUAUUUGAUGCAGCUUAUAGUUUUAGUAGUAUAAUCUGAUUAUGAAUUACAUCUCUCUGAAUUUUCAAAUGCUUAUCUUAAGUUGGCUUUUUUAAUAUUUGAAUCAAAUGUGAAUUACAUGUCUGUUUUCACAUUUUUCUAGCUUUGAUGAUCCUGAUAAGUGCACUCACAUUUUGGUGUGACAGCCAAUGACUAUGAUCUUUAUAAAACUCUGAAAUUGAUUACAUGUCCAAGUUUUCUUGGUU